rnacentral:rRNA from 1 species
UGGGGAAUAUUGCACAAUGGGCGCAAGCCUGAUGCAGCCAUGCCGCGUGUAUGAAGAAGGCCUUCGGGUUGUAAAGUACUUUCAGUCGGGAGGAAGGUGGUAAGGUUAAUAACCUUAUCAAUUGACGUUACCGACAGAAGAAGCACCGGCUAACUCCGUGCCAGCAGCCGCGGUAAUACGGAGGGUGCAAGCGUUAAUCGGAAUUACUGGGCGUAAAGCGCACGCAGGCGGUCUGUCAAGUCGGAUGUGAAAUCCCCGGGCUCAACCUGGGAACUGCAUUCGAAACAGGCAGGCUAGAGUCUUGGAGGGGGAGGUAGAAUUCCAGGGGUAGCGGUGAAAUGCGUAGAGAUCUGGAGGAAUACCGGGGGCGAAGGCGGCCCCCUGGACAAAGACUGACGCUCAGGUGGGAAAGCGUGGGGAGCAAACAGG